rnacentral:lncRNA from 1 species
AAACACAUCAAACUACAUUUAGCACCAAACAAAUUCCAAACCCCAAACACAUGAAUAGCCCCCAAAAGAAAAUAACAAAACAAAACACAUUAAAUCACACAUAGAGAGUAUAAAUUAUAUAUAGAAGUUUAAAAUGUAUAAUAUUACUCAAUAUAAUAUAAUGAUCUAGAGGCAUUUCUGAGGGUGGAAAGCCAGUGGCCCGGCGGCGUAAACAGCGGCCCUAUAAUUGGUGCCGAC